GUCACCUCUGUGCCAUCGUCUGACACCAUCUUGCCUGCCUCAUCCACUGGAGGAAGACGAAAAGAGAGAGACAGAGCCGGUGGUAGCUGGUCCCAUGCAAGGUGAGGUUCCGGAGGUCCCUCCGCCCCCUCUGGACAUCGAGGGGUCCCCGGCGUACACGAUACGAGCUAUUCUGGACUCGAGACGCCGGGUGAGGGGCUUGCAGUACCUCGUUGACCGGGAGGGGUACGGUCCGGAGAAGAGGUGCUGGGUCCCGGUGGGGGAUAUUCUGGAUCCAUCUAUGUUGAGAGAGUUCCAUCGCCACCAUCCGGAUCGGCCGGCGCCUUGACCCCUGGGUCAUCCCCGAGGCCGGCGUCGGCGCGCUGCGAGAGCUGCGCGUCAGGGGGGGAGGUACUGUCACGAAUAUUACCGAAGGUGACUCCCCUUCUAGUUCGGGUGGCGCUAGGCGGUCGUCGUCACCGGUCUACUAGCUGCCACCGAUCCAUUGUUCUGUGUUCGUUUGGUUCUGUCUAAUUGGUUUCACCUGUCUCUUGUUUGGUUGUUAGGGUGGGGUUAUUUAAGUUAGUUCAACCCGCUUCUGUUUGUGCGGGCUUGUUCGUCUGUAUGUGUUAGAGUGGUUAGUGUUUGCAUUUCGGGUUUCUCGCUGUCCUUUAUUUUUUCACAUUAUUGUUCGCCUGAUUUUUGUUCUUGUGAUUUUCUGGACAUUAAAGCGUGUUUUUCCCGUA